AGGGAGGGAGGCGCUGGGCGCAGAGCGGGCAGCGAGACUGGAGAACUGUGGAGCUGGGACGCCCCGCCGGGGUUGCGCCCAGUCGGGGAGGGGCAUGGCGAGACCUGCCCCCCAGCUUUGUCUUAGUUACUCUGAGGCAAGGGGCUGCGCUGGGCCGGAGCAACUAUACAGUGCCUGGCCCCGCCGACCCUCAAAGUGUCCCGGCUAUAUUGCAACCGCGGCGCAGGGAGAACACAGGAAAGGAGUGGUCACUGUGCCGACAAAGGGUAACUGCCAUUAUUAAGCACCCAGGCUGGCCAGGCGCCGUCACCACCCCUUCUGUCCCGCGGUGGCAGCCCAGGCACACAGGGCACAGGCAUGUGUCCUAGGAUUGUGGAAGAGGCAGCGCUGGGAUACGAACCUGGGACAUGGGGCUCUUGGCCCCCUGCGACAGGCUGAGGAAGACUUGUGCUUGAACCAGGCUUUGAAAAUUGGGGAGGGUUUGAUGGGUGCAGGUAACGGAGCAAGCUCUGCCCUCAUGGCCGUGAGACCUCGGGAAGACGUUUGAUCUUGGUGGGCCGCACUUUCCUCCUCCGUAAAAGUGGCCGCACUUAGGAAAACGAGUAACUAAUAUGUCCACCUCCUAGCAAAUUAUUGGAAGGAACAUGAGAAACCUUCUCUCUUAAAACAGAGUUAGAAGAUGCGCUGAUACCGGAUUUCUGUGCCUACGUGGUGGGCAGCAUUCGGCUGGAGCUGCCAGCUCUGUUUCCUCUAGAAGGCGUCGUCCUCUUCAGUUUGCUGGUCCUCACUGUUUACAGGAUUCAGGCGUCUGUACUCACAUCUGGCCGCUGAGAGCAGGCCUACAGGACACCCCAAGUUUCCCUGCGUCCUCUCCUGCCACCCUGAAACCUGUUCUUCACACAACAGCCUGACUCAUCUCUUAAAAUAUGACCGCCAACAACCUCCCAACUGGAUACCUAAAUCUGAGGGUAACUCUUCUAACUGGUGAUUGACAUCUGCCGAAGCAAAGAAUCAGGAAAAUGGAGUAGAUGCAGCUUUCCCUAUUUCCCUUGCUAAAUACAGUUAAAAACCCUGGACACCGUAUACACAGGGACUGUAUAUGGAACAAACUUAAGAAGACUAUGAAAAGUGGAGAGAAGAGCAGAUCACAUAGGGACAUUCAGACCCAAGAAAUAAUAUGGUGGUCAGUUCCCGAGUUUUCUUUUUGCUUCACAUUUCGCAGACUGGAUCUGGAGAAGCCAGAAACCAGAAACCUGGAACUUGGAGACAUCAACAGGCACAGACAAAAAAAAAGAUCCUUAAACCAAAGGCCCAGGAACAGAGCAGCCUAGCAAGACAGGAAUGAAGAGGAAAUGAAGACGUUCUCAGAUGAAGGAAGACUAAGGGAAUUUGUCACCAGCAGACCUACCCCAAAAUAAUGGCUAAAGAAAGUUGUCUAAACAGAAAGGCAAUGAUAGAGAAAAUGGAGUCCUAGAACAUCAGGCGGGAAAGAAGAACACUGCAAGAGCAAAAAUAUAGGUGAAAAAUAGACUUUCCUACUUUUUUUUUUUUUUUUUUAGGAAUAUUAGCCCUGAGCUAACUGCUGUCAAUCCUCCUCUUUUUGCUGAGGAAGACUGG